UACGUAGGGUGCGAGCGUUGUCCGGAAUUAUUGGGCGUAAAGAGCUCGUAGGCGGUCUGUCGCGUCGAUCGUGAAAACUUGGGGCUUAACCCUGAGCUUGCGGUCGAUACGGGCAUGACUGGAGUUCGGCAGGGGAGACUGGAAUUCCUGGUGUAGCGGUGAAAUGCGCAGAUAUCAGGAGGAACACCGGUGGCGAAGGCGGCCUGCUGGGCAGUGGCUGACGCUGAGGCGCGACAGCGUGGGGAGCAAACAGG
rnacentral:rRNA from 1 species